UUUUCUAUACAAAGGAAUCUUAUCUCUUAUUUUUACAUUUUUUCAAAGAUAUUUAUCCCUUUGUCUGCUACCUUUUUUUUUUUUGUCUAUAUCUAUCUUUAUGUCUUUUUCUUCUUUUGUCUUUGUCGUCAUUUUUCUUUGUCUACUAUGACUCUUUUUCUUCAUCCUUAUCUUAUUUUGCAUUCUUAUCUCUUCAUCUUUAUUCCAAAUCAACAUCUGCUUAAUUUAAACAAACAUUAUGGGUUUUAGGGAGUUUCCCAUCGUCUCCUUUUAUCUCUGGAAUUUUACCGUCUUCCGAUCGACGUAGCUCCGCAUUUUUAUAGUCAUGCUGCUGACUUAUAUUAGCUUUAGACUUCAGGUUAUCUUCAUUAGUCUUUAGCUUUUGUAUCUCAUUGUCCAUACUAUCCACUUUAGUACAAAGUGUAGUAAUGGCUUUGAGUAGCUUUUCAAUUGUAUCUUCGUCUUUGUUUUCAGUUUGAGUAGCUUUGUCUUGAUAAGUAGUCUGCAAUACCAUUCUUAUUAGUCUUUAUCACUUCAAUUGUAAAUGAAAAGUUUAAUAUAUUUAAUACCAAUCUUCUAAUUUCUUUCGUUGUUA